GUUCUUUCUUCAGCCAAUGUAUACUAAAAUCAAAUGAUAUAGAGAAGAUUGGCCUGGCCCCUGCAUGAGAAUGACAUACAAAUUUGUGAAGUGCUCCACAUUUUU